GGCAUUACGCUGUGUGAGACUCCGGUCGCUCGACAGUCAAGUCACCCCCUUCCAGUAUCCAGUAGUGGGUAUUCAGUUACUUACUAUUGUGUGUUGGUCGUUUACUGUGAGAAAAUUAGAGUGUUCAAAGCAGGCGUUUGCUUGAAUAGAUUAGCAUGGAAUAAUAAUUGAAGGCUUUCGUGUUCGAUUUGAUUGGUUUGUUCAUGGAAGCAAGGUUAAAAGGAACAGUUGGGGGUAUUCAUAUUCACUAGUUAGAGGUGAAAUUCUCGGAUUUAUGGAAGAUGAACAAGUGCGAAAGCAUUUACCAAGGAUGUUUUCAUUAAUCAAGAACGAAAGCUAGGGGAUCGAAGAGGAUUAGAUACCCUCGUAGUCUUAGCUAUAAACGAUACCGACUAGGGGUUAGUAGAGGUCAAAGUGUCUUUAUUAGUACCUUAUGAGAAAUCAAAGUCUUUGGGUUCCGGGGGGAGUAUGGUCGCAAGGCUGAAACUUAAAGGAAUUGACGGAAGGGCACCACCAGGAGUGGAGCCUGCGGCUUAAUUUGACUCAACACGGGGAAACUUACCAGGUCCAGACAUAG
rnacentral:rRNA from 1 species